rnacentral:rRNA from 1 species
AACGAACGCUGGCGGCAGGCCUAACACAUGCAAGUCGAGCGCGCCCUUCGGGGUGAGCGGCGGACGGGUUAGUAACGCGUGGGAACGUGCCCUUCUCUAAGGAAUAGCCUCUGGAAACGGAGAGUAAUACCUUAUACGCCCUUCGGGGGAAAGAUUUAUCGGAGAGGGAUCGGCCCGCGUUAGAUUAGGUAGUUGGUGGGGUAAUGGCCUACCAAGCCUACGAUCUAUAGCUGGUUUUAGAGGAUGAUCAGCAACACUGGGACUGAGACACGGCCCAGACUCCUACGGGAGGCAGCAGUGGGGAAUUUUCCGCAAUGGGCGAAAGCCUGACGGAGCAAGACCGCGUGGGGGAGGAAGGUUUUUGGAUCGUAAACCCCUUUG